rnacentral:rRNA from 1 species
AGCCUUUGAGUUUGUAAACCCGAAACUAAGGGAGCUACUCCAGGACAGCCUAAUAAUAGGGCAAACCCGUCUCUGUUGCAAAAGAGUGGGGCGAGCUUUGAGUAGAGGUGAUAAACCUACCGAACUUAGUUAUAGCUGGUUGCCCAAGAAAUGAAUAGUAGUUCAGCUUUACGGCUUCUCCCUUCACAUCAGUACAUGCAACCCCCUGAUUUUUUGAGAAACCAUAAAAGUUAUUCAAAAGGGGUACAGCCCUUUUGAAACAAGACACAACUUUACCAGGAGGGUAAAGAUCAUAAUUACAUAAGGUAAUUGACCUUGGUGGGCUCGAAAGCAGCCACCCCCUUAAGAAAGCGUCUAAGCUCAUAAGAAUGUUACCCCUCUCCCAAUUCUGAUCAUUUAAUCUUAUCCCCCUAAAUUUAUUGGGCCAUCCCAUGCCAACAUGGGAGUGACCAUGCUAAUAUGAGUAAUAAGAAAGCAAUGGCUUUUUCCCCGCACGCAUGUAAAUCGGAAUGGACCCCCCACCGAAAAUUAACGGCCCCAAUCACAGAGGGCAUGGGAAGAUAAACCAAACCACAAGAAAAUCCUCCAACAAACAACCGUUAACCCAACACAGGGGGGCCCCUAGGGAAAAACUAAAAGGGGGGGAAGGAACUUGGCAAACACAUGAAGCCUCGCCUGGUUACCAAAAAACAUCGCCUCUUGCAAAUAAUAAAUAAGAGGUCCCGCCUGCCCUGUGACUAUUAGUUUAACGGCCGCGGU